UCGGGUAUGGUGUAACGGUAACAUCAGUGACUCUCACUCACUAGCCCCGGGUUCGAUUCCCGGUAUCCGAA